rnacentral:rRNA from 1 species
CCUACGGGUGGCAGCAGUGGGGAAUAUUGGACAAUGGGCGCAAGCCUGAUCCAGCAAUACCGCGUGUGUGAAGAAGGCCCUAGGGUUGUAAAGCACUUUCAAUUGGGAGGAAAACCUGUCGGUCAAUACCCGGCAGCUUGACAUUACCUUUAGAAGAAGCACCGGCUAACUCCGUGCCAGCAGCCGCGGUAAUACGGAGGGUGCAAGCGUUAAUCGGAAUGACUGGGCGUAAAGCGUGCAGAGGCGGUUGAAAGCCCCGGGCGUAACCAGGGAACUGCAGUUGAAACUGGCGGACUUGAGUUGGGUAGAGGGGAGUGGAAUUUCAGGUGUAGCGGGGAAAUGCGUAGAUAUCUGAAGGAACACCAGUGGCGAAGGCGACUCCCUGGACUCAAACUGACGCUGAGGUACGAAAGCGUGGGUAGCAAACAGGAUUAGAUACCCCAGUAGUC